rnacentral:rRNA from 1 species
CCCUUAGAUGUUCUGGGCCGCACGCGCGCUACACUGACGCAUUCACCGAGUUCUUCUGUCCUGCAUCGAGAGGUGUGGGUAAUCUGUUGAACCUGCGUCGUGAUGGGGAUAGAUUAUUGCAAUUAUUAAUCUUCAACGAGGAAUGCCUAGUAAGCGUGAGUCAUCAGCUCGCGUUGAUUACGUCCCUGCCCUUUGUACACACCGCCCGUCGCUCCUACCGAUUGGAUGGUCCGGUGAGGUUUUCGGAUUGGCGCAUUGCAGCGGUUUCCGUCGCGUUGUGCCGAGAAGUUACCCAAACCUUAUCAUCUAGAGGAAGGAGAANUCGUAACA